AUUACAUUGAUAGCCAUGCUAUCUAAGCCAGCACUGGGUUUAGUCGGCUUUACAACAACAAAGCCUCCAUGUUUCUUUCCUUUUUUCACAUCCCGCUACUUUUUCUUCUUGCCCUGAAGCAACAACAUAACAUUCGACACAUUAUUAUCCAAUUUAGCAAAUGUCAAUUACAGUGAUCUAAUUAUAUAAAAGAAGGUUAGAGAGACACCUAAGAUGCCAAGUCAGAAAUUCGAAUGCUAUUGUUACCACACGUGUUUUGCUGCACUUCAUUAAUUCGAGAAUUUGAUGGGCUUUUACGUGAAAAUAUGUGGGCUUGAAUUUAACGUUAUUUGGUCUCACAAAAAAAAGGUUAGUCGAUCUAGGUUAGGGUCUUUACGUGUCCUAACAGUUCAUCAUCUUCAUCGGCCGCCAUGACGAUCAAAGUUCAGAACACGCCUCUUACCAGACGAAAGCGUAACGUCUACGCUUUCAUUCAAUUUGUGGCAUUUACGUUCUCAUUGACUCCAUCAAACCACGACUCCACUAACUCAGCAUUCAAAAAGAUCAUCGUCUUCCUCAGUUUAUGAGGGAAAUGGUUGCUUGCCGAUUGUUCAAGCGUUGGACAAGUGAUUUUGUAUUCCUCAGUUUCUAACUUUUAAGCAUAGAGAAACUUUUAGGACUGACGGGUUAUUGUUCGGAUCCGAGACGAGUGAUUGGAUCUGAGUGAUUGGAUCUCGAUAGACGAAGAUUUACAGCCCGGAUCCUAUAACGCUGCUGCAGUGAAACGAUUCAAGGCUUAGUUAAGACGCAAAGAGAUCUCUGUAUAUGGUAUGAAAAUCAGGAAUCGAUUCAAGUGAUGCGGAUAAGAAUAACCAUAGCUGCUUCUUAAAAGAAGGACAUGUCAUUUCAACAAUGGUUCAAGGGUCCGGUGUGCCUGUUAAAAUUUCUCCAACACUGUUCCGUCUCCUUUCUUUCGACAUCUCCAUUGACGGUUCCGACUAUGUGCUUUCUCUUCUUACGAUAGAUUCUCAGGUACGGGUCACAUAUUGCUUUGGAUAUGGUGACUCAUGUUUUAUCUCCCUACUGAAGAAGUUUCAUUCUCGCUCUCUGUGUAAGUUAUGCAGUUGUGCAGCCCGACUUUUGAAAAAUGUGGAAUUCGUUUUGUCUUCUUCCUAAGCAUGACUGUAUGUUGUAUGGAGUGCACUACCCUCCAAAACUUCACUUGGACGUUCACAUGGCAGACAUAAUAAGCACUGGUGUAAGUGUCUCACCCUUCCACCACGUCGUUAUAAACUCGACUUCGAAGUCCUGUGUUCACAAAAGAAGUCUCAUUUGGGUCUUCAGUCGCUUUUUAACAAGUGCUCGAGGGUGUAUGAUGAGAUGUUAGUACCUAGGCUUGCAGUUUGUUUAGUUUUUUCGGAUUCUUUUAGCCAUUGCAAGGUUUGAGAUUGAGAUUAGUUUUAAUUAGAUAAGAGUUUGUACAAUGCAGCUGGGAAAUACAGAGUAUCCAUUGCAUAUUACAGAAGCAUAUGUUGAUUUCGAGACUGAAUCAUUAUUGCACGAAGCCAUCAAUGUUGCUGCAAAACAUUAUGUUCUUGAGUGAAUUUUUAUGAGACAAGUGAGUCAUUUUCUGUUCCUCUUUGGCUGGAUUCUCAUACCUCCUAAUGGAGUGAGGGUUGCUAUGGAAAUGCAAGCUGAAGCUAAAGUAAAAAUGGAGGCCAUAAGGUAAAAUUGCAUUGCUUAACUUUGAAAAUUUUAUGUUUUCUGAUUAAACAAUUUGCCUGGUGCAGCUCAAGAAUAUAGAACAAAACCUGCUUAUUAUGUGUAUCAAAAUCUGUUUAACUAACUUGAAUAAGGAAGCCCAAGCGCAUUUCAACAUA